UACGGGGGGGGCAAGCGUUGUUCGGAAUUACUGGGCGUAAAGGGCUCGUAGGUGGCCAACUAAGUCGGACGUGAAAUCCCUCGGCUUAACCGGGGAACUGCGUCCGAUACUGGAUGGCUUGAGUUUGGGAGAGGGAUGCGGAAUUCCAGGUGUAGCGGUGAAAUGCGUAGAUAUCAGGAGGAACACCGGUGGCGAAGGCGGCUUCCUGGACAAUAACUGACGCUGAGGCGCGAAAGCUAGGGGAGCAAACAGG
rnacentral:rRNA from 1 species